UGCAAAGGUAGCAUAAUAGUUUGUUUCUUAAUUAGAAACUAGAAUGAAUGGUUUAACAAAAUGAAAGCUUUUUUAUACGUUAAAUUUGAAUUUAACUUAAAAGUGAAAAGUCUUUUAUAGAAUAAAUAGACGAGAAGACCCCAGAAUCUUAUAAUUUGAAGUAUAGUUAUAUUUGUAUUCUUUUUUGUUAAUUAUAUUAUAAAUUAUUGGUUGGGGCAAUCCUUAUAUUUUCAUUUAUUAGAAAUUUUAGGUUAGGUUAAACUUUAUAAGUGAAUGGCUAUAUCCGUGUUGGGCGAAUUAAAAUAAAGAUACUUUGGGGAUAACAGUGUAAUUUUUUUUUAAGACCUUAUUAAUAAUUAAGUUUGC
rnacentral:rRNA from 1 species